rnacentral:rRNA from 1 species
UGUUAGUGGAAAGGAUAAAUUGGAAACUGCGAAUAGCUCAUUACAACAGGGAUGAUUUAUAAGAUCUAUUUUCUUAAAUGGAUAUGAGCGGUAAUUCUGGGACCAAUACAUGGUCUAACUGCUUGCUUCGGCAAGUAGGCAAAGUCCUGAUUCAGAUCAUUUUCCUAUCGUGAAUGAUGGACUUUAAACCGCUAAUCGCAUGUUUUCGGACGGCGAUGUAUCUUAUAAGUCCCUGCCCUAUUAACCUGGCGCGAGUGUAGCGAACUCUCAAGGUUGUUAUGGGUAACGGAGGAUCAGGGUUCGACUCCGGAGAGGGCGCCUUAGAAAUGGCGACCAGUUCCACGGAAUGCAGCAGGCGCGAAACUUACCCAAUGUCAAUUCGACGAGGUAGUGAAGAAACAUAAUGAGACUGACCUCUUUGAGGGCGGUCAUUGUAAUGGAUUGAAUCCAAACUCUUCUUUGAGUAUCAACGAGUGGGCAAGUCUGGUGCCAGCAGCCGCGGUAAUUCCAGCACUCGUAAGGUAUAGAAUUAUUGUUGCGUUUAAAAAGCUCAUAGUUGGAUUGUCACAAGGGAUUGGGUUCGAAUUUCGGUUCGUUACUCGGCCCUUGUUCGGUAUAUGACUUGCUCGGCUUCGGUCGCAGCUCGUUUAUACUGCUUUACUUUGAAUGUCUUAAGUGCUCAAUGCGAGGCUUAAGCUUGAAUAACACUGCAUGGAAUAAUGAAACAAGGUUUCGACUGAGUUUCUUUGGUCUGUUAGUUGAAACAAUGAUUAACAGGAACAGUUCGUGGGUGAACGUAUCGCAGCGCGAGGAGUGAAAUCUGUGGACCGUUGCGAGACGACCGAAAGCGAAAGCAUUCACCAAGGAUGUUUUCAUUAAUCAAGAGCGAAAGUCAGAGGUUCGAAGGCGAUUAGAUACCGCCCUAGUUCUGACCGUAAACGAUGCCAACUAUCGAUCUGCGUGUGGAUUUUAUUCACUGCGUGGGGAGGCUCCCGGAAACGAAAGUUUUUCGGCUCCGGGGGUAGUAUGGUUGCAAAGCUGAAACUUAAAGGAAUUGACGGAAGGCCACCACCAGGAGUGGAGCUUGCGGCUUAAUUUGACUCAACACGGGAAAGCUCACCUGAGCAGUAUAUUGUAUGGAUUGACAGAUUGAUAGCUCUUUCAUGAUUCGGUUAAUGGUGGUGCAUGGCCGUUCUUAGUUCGUGGAUUGAUUUGUCUGCUUAAUUGCGAUAACGAACGAGACUCUGGCAAUUAAAUAGGGGCUCUGAUUCGUCAGUAGUAUACCUUCUUAGUUGGAUUGAUUAUGGUGAAUGAUAUGAAAGAGAGCAAUAACAGGUCUGUUAUGCCCUGAGAUACCCAGGGCCGCACGCGUGCUACAAUGUUAGUCACAGCGUGAUUGUCCUUCUCCGAUAGGAGUUGGCAAACCCGUGAGAUAUUAUUAUGGUCGGAAUUGAGUAUUGGAAUUAUUACUCGUGAACAAGGAAUUCCAAGUAAGUAUGAGUCAUCACCUCAUACUGAUUACGUCCCUGGCCUUUGUACACACCGCCCGUCGCUGCCCGGAACUGAGUUAUUUCGAGAAGACUAUGGACGAUGAUGCUUUUUCAUUUCGGUGUUGGGUAUCGUUGAAAGUAGUUUAAUCGCGAUGACUUGAACCGGGC